CCCUUAGAUGUUCUGGGCCGCACACGCGCUACACUGAAGGAGGCAGCGUGUACUCCUGGAUCGAAAGAUUUGGGUAACCCGCGAAUCUCCUUCGUGCUAGGGAUUGAGGUUUGCAAUUAUCCUUCAUGAACGAGGAAUUCCCAGUAAGUGCAAGUCAUAAGCUUGCGCUGACUACGUCCCUGCCCUUUGUACACAUCGCCCGUCGCUACUACCGAUUGAAUGAUUUAGUGAGGACUUCGGACUGGGACCGAUGCGGCUUUCGGGCUGCGUCGGUAUUCUGGAAAGAUGUCCAAACUGUAUCAUUUAGAGGAAGUAAAAGUCGUAACA
rnacentral:rRNA from 1 species